rnacentral:tRNA from 1 species
GGAGGUGGCUCAGUGGAUAAAGUACUUGCCCGACAAGCAUGAGGGACUGAGUUCAAACCCACAGACUCCCA